GUAUUGUUAAUUUCUUUGAAAACCUAUUUCAGCUAUUGUUCAAAAGCGCACUUUAUUUAUAAUAAAGUGGUAUUUAAUUUAUACGAUGCGAUUAGUUUUAUUUGAAAUUUAAUUGUACAAAACAGCUUACACUUCGUUCAUUUAUAAGAGGACAAAAAAGGAAAUACUGUCGGCCUGCGUCAUUCGCCGAUUAUAAUGCAUGAAUGAUUAUUUUGCUAUUCUGAUAUUCUCACUUGAAUAUCAAACGCACCUUUGUAUCGGUUGUUAAGUUUUAUAUUCAAACAAUUAUAUUAAGUCAAUAUUCUGUACUUAUAUAAUACAGAAUUUAUACGGAUUCUUACCAAGAGUCUUUAACACGUUUAGUGCAACAUACGGUUUUUAUAAAUAUUUUUCAAAAUAUCUUAACCAAUCUUUUAGAUUCUGUUCAAUAAUUGUAACUUGUAACAAGUUAUUAUUGUAUCUGUUAGGUUUUGAAAGCUAAUUCUUAAAAUGAAAGACGGCAGCAGAUUGUUAUCAGUUCUCUUAAGGGUUUCUGAGAAAGCAGCAAAUAUUGCAAGAGCUUGCAGGUAUAAUGAAGCUUUGUUUAAAUUGUUAGUACAAGAAAAAUCAGAGGAAGAGAAGAAUCCUCGCUUCUUUCAAGAUUUCAAAACCUUGGCUGAUGUUCUUAUACAAGAAACCAUUAAACAUGAGAUUGGAUUAGAGUUUUCAGAAUUGGCCAAAGUAGUACAAGGAGAAGAAAGUAAUACAUUCAGCAAUGCUAUGGGUGAAACUAUAGUGGUCAAAGUUUGUUCUACUACUGAAGAAACAACUCAGUUAUUAGCCAAGGUGAUGGGCAGUGACAUUGAAACUGCAGAAUUAUUGGCUACAGAAGUUCAUAAAGAUGUCCAGUUGUCAGACAUUCCAGUGGUAGCAGAAUUACCACUUGAUUUUGAUAUUAAUGUUAAUGAUCUUGGUAUAUGGAUUGAUCCAAUUGAUUCAACUGCAGAUUAUAUAAAUGGAGGUGAAAAUGUGGAUGGUGUUACUGGUAUACAUAUGAGUGGUUUACGCUGUGUCACUGUCUUAAUUGGAGCAUACUUGAAAGGCACAGGUGUACCAGUUGUGGGAGUAAUUAAUCAACCGUUUUACACGAACUUGGACUCACAGUGGAAAGGAAACUGCUAUUGGGGAUUUGUGGGAAAUGAUAUUAGAAAAUGUUCUAUAGACCAAGAAUCCAUUGAUAAAAAAAUUAUCGUUCUUAGUAGAGUGGAAGAUGCUAAUGUAAAAUCGAAGCUAUUAGACGCUGGAUUUACGUUAGUAGAAGCGGCCGGGGCAGGUUAUAAAAUACUAAGCGUUGCUCUUGGACAUGUUGAUGCUUACAUUUUAUCCAAAGGCUCCACAUAUAAGUGGGACACUUGUGGUCCUCAAGCUCUUUUACGUUCUUUGAAUGGAGGUAUUAUCGAAUUUCAAAAUUUUAUCAAAGAUCCUGAUUCAGAUUACGUGGAUGUAAAAUAUUUGUCUACGUCUUUCAAUUUUUCAAAUACCAAUGGCUUAAUAGCAUAUAGGAAUUUUGAAAUUUUGUCAACUUUGAAAUCUAUUUUAUGCAACUAAAUGUUUUAAAUAUAGUAAUUCUAUGUAUAUAGAAUAUAGGUAUAGGGUGUUUCUGAUCUAAUGGUACAGCCGGAAAGGGGAUGAAUCUACAUGAACAAUGUCUGAUGUUGGUGAAGGGAAAUAAAAAUGAAUGUACAAUGACUACAGAUAUAAAAAGACUGAAUAUGCCUUUGUUCUCGAGAAAUAAUUUUGGAGGUCCCAGACAUCUCCAGGUGAGCUAAAGUUUGCAAUUGGUAUGACAGAACCGACACAGUUGAAUAAUUGUUUGACAAACUUGUAUUUUAAAAAGACCACUAGAAUUCAUUUUUUAAAUUCGAUUCUAGCGCCAUCUAUCCCAAUAUCGCGCAAACUAGUUGGCAAAUAAUUUCUGCGAUAUCUGGAUAAAUGGCGAUAGUGUUUCCACCUAUCGAUCGGUAAAUUGUCGAGUAGUUUGCGCUGUUUUCGAAUAGAUAGAGCUACGAUCGAAUUUAAGACCCUUUGGCGGGAAAUUUAAUUUAUAAUUAACGUGUGACGUUAUCAAAGACUGUCAACUUGCGUUAGACUAUUGCACUACAAAGUGUUUUACAUUUUUAUACUAGAAUAGAGAAGGUGCUCGUUUACAAGGCACAAAUUUAAGACUCCUUGAAAACAAAGGCAUGUCGAAAACAAAAAGCUCAUUCUUAGCACCUAACAGGAGAUGGUGUCACGUUUAUUUAUGCUAGGGUACUUAUUUAAAAAUAUAAAUUCAUUUGAAAACCAAGCUUUGUAUGAUAAAAUGUCACUUUACAUUUUCGGCUCAAUUUUGCACAUAGAUUCACACCCUCUUUAGUUAUGCUAGUAAGUCGGAAACAUCCAAUAUUUUAAGAUGAUUAUUCAUUGAAUGAGAGAACAUACCUG